CAAAGAGAAGCGUCCUCGCGAGAGCAAGCGUACCUCAUAAAGUGCGUCGUAGUGCGGAUUGGAGUCUGCAACUCGACUCCAUGAAGUCGGUAUCGCUAGUAAUCGUGGAUCAGAAUUCCACGGUGAAUACGUUCCCGGGGCUUGUACACACCGCCCGUCACACCAUGGGAGUGGGUUGCAAAAGAAGUAGGUAGCUAAACCUUCGGGAGGGCGAUUACCACUUUGUGAUUCAUGACAGGGGUGAAGUCGUAACAAGGUAACCUUAGGGCAAACAGCCCUUGGA
rnacentral:rRNA from 1 species